rnacentral:rRNA from 1 species
UACGUAGGGGGCAAGCGUUGUCCGGAAUCAUUGGGCGUAAAGAGCGUGUAGGCGGCCCGGUAAGUCCGCUGUGAAAGUCCAGGGCUCAACCCUGGAAUGCCGGUGGAAACUGUCGGGCUAGAGUCCGGAAGAGGCGAGUGGAAUUCCUGGUGUAGCGGUGAAAUGCGCAGAUAUCAGGAGGAACACCAAUGGCGAAGGCAGCUCGCUGGGACGGUACUGACGCUGAGACGCGAAAGCGUGGGGAGCGAUCCGG